rnacentral:miRNA from 1 species
UCUGCUUCUACUAUGAACUCUUAAAUUAUGAAUGUGAGCCAGGCAUGUUGGGCCACUUGGGAGGCAGAGGCAGGAGGAU